rnacentral:tRNA from 1 species
ACCUGGGUGGUUCAGUUGGUUAAAUGUCUGACUUCGGCUCAGGUCAUGAUCUCACUGUUCGUGGGUUCGAGCCCCACAUCAGGUU